UUGCCUAUUUGUUUAACUGAAAAGUAAAUGGUAUAGGCUACGUCAAGUCUACCUCAUAAAGCUAGCUACUGGAUUUAUUUACAUUAGCUCAAAAUUUCAUUCAGGUUUUGCAUUCCCUUCCUUCUAAACUUUUAUAACUUCAUAACUGAAAGAGAAGUUAGAGGAUUAGAGAAAUAACAAAACACUUUUCAGGUUCGGUGCUCAGACAAUAGAAAAAAUAGUGCAACAGUUUGCUAUGUUAUAUACCUUUCCAGCAAAUCUAUCAAAAUAUUCAGAUUUGUCUUUUAUUCUCAUUUAAAAAAAUACAGUGCUCUUCUUGUUUUCUUGUGAGUAUGGAAGUAUGAGCAUCUUUAGAUGUCUUUAAAAUUAUUAAAAAAAAAGGAAUGCCAGCAACCCAGAGCUAGUCAUGUAAGUUGAUCACUGAAGCAGAUUUCAGAAGUGACGAAGUGUUAUUAAUCCAGUUGACUCCAGGUGGAGGCAAAGAUCCCUUUGCAAAGAGCAGCUUGCAUGCUUAAGACCAUCAGCUUUCUUGUGAAGACAGCAACUGAAGUAUAUUUUAGAUCUAUAAUUGUAAAUAGUUUAAUCUCCCUCAUAAAUGGAGCUGAACUCCUCAGGAAACGCAACAUAGCUUGGUGACUGGAACUCAGGAAACUCCCAAAUCAAUACCAGAACAAGCAUGGACUGAGGGAAGGUUGUUCAGUGCUUUUCAGUCCUAAGGACUACACUGUGUUUUAAAAAUAAGAUUUAGAAAUGCUGAAGGUGAUUAUAGCAGCUUUACCACUUUACCACACAUCUGAGUACAAGUGCCACUUAGAUGUGAAAUGGCUCAGCAUCUCAGCACACUGUGCUUUUUUUUCUUUACUGAAUCGCCUUUGGUUCAGGGCUUGGCCCUACAGUAAAUCAUACAGAGCUUUCCUCUUAUUCUGUGUAUUUUUUAGUGAGUGCUUUUAGUACCUUUCACUUUAUCCUAAGUACUUUGCCAAUUACACUGAUUUGCAAAGAGAAACAAAGGACUUGGGGCUGGAGAAAACUCGGAAAAUGCAGAAUGAUGCAGUAGUAAUUGUGGGAGGAAAAAAAAAAAAUCAAAAAGGUACCUUUGUGCUAUAGAGAUACCGGAUGCUACAAUUGGAAAGCUUAAUGGUUGCAUUCUCCUGUUCUGCUUUGGGGAAAUACACUGCAGUUUGCUGAAGUAGAUAAUGACUAAGAUCUAUCUAUUGGAAGGGACAUUAUUUUAAUCUUUGUAUAAUGCUACUAUGAAGGUCACCAGAGGUUGGUAAGAACGGCUGAAGAACGUUGCUGACAUACAAACGCUCAUGCUCUGAUGCCAGAGAAUGGAAGGAAGAUAAGAAGGGAGAAAUAAAAUGAAGGCAUGAAGAUGCAUGGUGAUAAGUGAUUUUGAAGUGAUGGAUGAGAGUUCACAGCAGGUUACUUUGGGAAGGAGACUAAGCAGCACUUUAGAAGAUGAUUCUUGCAAAAUGGGAAGCUUUCUAUGCAUUUUCUGCAAAUGAAAAUUUCUUCACUGGCAGCUUGCACUGGAAAGACUGCUCAGCAGUUUGAUGGGAUGCUGACAACCCUCAAGUCCAUUUGCAAACAAGGAUUUUGGAGAGGGAACCUCUUUACUUUCAAGGUAACUA